rnacentral:rRNA from 1 species
UUGGAGGGCAAGUCUGGUGCCAGCAGCCGCAGUAAUUCCAGCUCCAAUAGCGUAUAUUAAAGUUGUUGCAGUUAAAAAGCUCGUAGUUGAACUUCGGGAUCAAUUAGUUGGUCAUGCCUUGGUAUGUACUGAUUUUAUUGGUUCUCACCUUCUAAAGAACUAUAAUGUCAUUUAUUUGAUGUUAUAGGGAAUUAGGACUGUUACCUUGAAAAAAUUAGAGUGUUUAAAGCAGGCUCACGCUUGAAUACAUUAGCAUGGAAUAAUGAAAUAGGACAUCGCAUUCUAUUUUGUUGGUUUCUAGGAUCGAUGUAAUGAUUAAUAGGGAUAGUUGGGGGCAUUAGUAUUCAAUUGUCAGAGGUGAAAUUCUUGGAUUUAUUGAAGACUAACUACUGCGAAAGCAUUUGCCAAGGAUGUUUUCAUUAAUCAAGAACGAAAGUUAGGGGAUCGAAGACGAUCAGAUACCGUCGUAGUCUUAACCAUAAACUAUGCCGACUAGGGAUCGGAUGAUGUUGAUUUUUUAAUGACUCAUUCGGCACCUUACGGGAAACCAAAGUGUUUGGGUUC